rnacentral:tRNA from 1 species
GCUCGUUUGACGCAGUGGUAGCGUGCCGUUCUUAUACUCUCUUGAAAAUCAAGCUUGUAUGAUGAGAAAUGCGGAAGUCGUGAGUUCGACCCUCACAAUGAGCA